rnacentral:rRNA from 1 species
AACAGGAUUAGAUACCCUGGUAGUCCACGCCCUAAACGAUGUCUACUAGUUGUCGGGUCUUAAUUGACUUGGUAACGCAGCUAACGCGUGAAGUAGACCGCCUGGGGAGUACGGUCGCAAGAUUAAAACUCAAAGGAAUUGACGGGGACCCGCACAAGCGGUGGAUGAUGUGGAUUAAUUCGAUGCAGCGCGAAAAACCUUACCUACCCUUGACAUGGCUGGAAUCCUUGAGAGAUCAGGGAGUGCUCGAAAGAGAACCAGUACACAGGUGCUGCAUGGCUGUCGUCAGCUCGUGUCGUGAGAUGUUGGGUUAAGUCCCGCAACGAGCGCAACCCUUGUCAUUAGUUGCUACGAAAGGGCACUCUAAUGAGACUGCCGGUGACAAACCGGAGGAAGGUGGGGAUGACGUCAAGUCCUCAUGGCCCUUAUGGGUAGGGCUUCACACGUCAUACAAUGGUACAUACAGAGCGCCGCCAACCCGCGAGGGGGAGCUAAUCGCAGAAAGUGUAUCGUAGUCCGGAUUGUAGUCUGCAACUCGACUGCAUGAAGUUGGAAUCGCUAGUAAUCGCGGAUCAGCAUGUCGCGGUGAAUACGUUCCCGGGUCUUGUACACACCGCCCGUCACACCAUGGGAGCGGGUUUUACCAGAAGUAGGUAGCUUAACCGCAAGGAGGGCGCUUACCACGGUAGGAUUCGUGACUGGGGUGAAGUCGUAACAAGGUAACC